rnacentral:rRNA from 3 species
UCCGAGUUGUAAUUUGUAGAGGAUGUUUCGGGUACCGCCUCGGUUUAAAUUUCUUGGAACAGAAUGUCAGAGAGGGUGAGAAUCCCGUCUUGGACCGGCGGUAGGGCCCAUGUGAAACUCCUUCGACGAGUCGAGUUGUUUGGGAAUGCAGCUCAAAAUGGGUGGUAAAUUUCAUCUAAAGCUAAAUAUUGGCCAGAGACCGAUAGCGCACAAGUAGAGUGAUCGAAAGAUGAAAAGCACUUUGAAAAGAGAGUUAAACAGUAUGUGAAAUUGUUGAAAGGGAAGCGCUUACAACCAGACUUGCGCGCGGCGGUUCCCCCUUCCUUUUGGUUGGGCUACUCCGUCGUGUCCAGGCCAACAUCGGUUCUGGGGGUCGGUUAAAGACCUUGGGAAUGUACCUACCCUUCGGGCGUAGACUUAUAGCCCAGGGUGUCAUGCGACCUCCCGGGACCGAGGAACGCGCUUCGGCUCGGAUGUUGGCGUAAUGGUUGUCAGCGACCCGUCUUGAAACACGGACCA